rnacentral:rRNA from 1 species
UAGGGAAUCUUCCACAAUGGGCGAAAGCCUGAUGGAGCAACGCCGCGUGGGUGAAGAAGGUCUUCGGAUCGUAAAACCCUCGUUGUUAGUAGAAGAAAGAUGCGUGAGAGUAACUGUUCACGUUUCGACGGUAUCUAACCAGAAAGCCACGGCUAACUACGUGCCAGCAGCCGCGGUAAUACGUAGGUGGCAAGCGUUAUCCGGAUUUAUUGGGCGUAAAGGGAACGCAGGCGGUCUUUUAAGUCUGAUGUGAAAGCCUUCGGCUUAACCGGAGUAGUGCAUUGGAAACUGGGAGACUUGAGUGCAGAAGAGGAGAGUGGAACUCCAUGUGUAGCGGUGAAAUGCGUAGAUAUAUGGAGGAACACCAGUGGCGAAGGCGGUCGCCUGGUCUGUAACUGACACUGAUGCACGAAAGCGUGGGGGGAGCAAAUAGGAUUAGAUACCC